AAACAUUGAACAAAAAACUUCCUGAAUCAAUUCAAGAUGGUGAACUCUUUGGAAAGAAACCGAAGAAGAAAAAGAAGAAGAAACAACAACAAUUUAUGCUCGAACAACUGAAUGAGAUAGAAAUAAUAAAGCCUUUAAAGGCGCAGGAGAAACAGAACGGUGUGCAUGAGAAACAGAACGGAUGACAUUAAUUUACGAAUAUCGUCGAUAUUGCAUUUCUUUUCGGGAUUCAUCGGACUGCCAAUCGGACAAUUGAAAGCUUUGCCAAAAUCUUCUGAAUUUGAAACGGAUCCUAUUGCUCUCAACCGUCCAGGACUAUGAUUAUCAUACUUGGCUUUAGAAACAUAUAUAAUUAUCAUGUGAAUGUUUAUCACAUGUACAUUGGCACAAUUUUAUAACAAAUAUAUGUUUAUUUCCGCGAA